rnacentral:rRNA from 1 species
GUGCCAGCAGCCGCGGGUAAAACGUAGGACGCAAGCGUUAUCCGGAAUUACUGGGUGUAAAGCGCGUGCAGGCGGGCUAGCCAGUCUUUCGUGAAAGCUCCCGGCUAAACUGGGAGAGGUCGGAAGAUACUGUUAGUCUGGAGGGUGGCAGAGGAAUGUGGAAUUCCGCGUGUAGUGGUGAAAUGCGUAGAGAUGCGGAGGAACACCAGUKGCGAAGGCGGCAUUCUGGGCCACACCUGACGCUGAGACGCGAAAGCAUGGGUAGCGAACGGGAUUAGAAACCCCGGUAGUCCAUGCCGUAAACGAUGUGUACUAGAUGUUCGUAUGCGCUACGGCGUGUGUGAGUGUCGGAGCAAACGCGUUAAGUACACCCGCCUGGGGGAGUACGGUCGCAAGGCUAAAACUCAAAGGAAUUGACGGGGGCCCGCACAAGCAGCGGAGCGUGUGGUUUAAUUCGAGCUACGCGAAAAACCUUACCCGGGUUUGACAUCUAGGUAGUAGAGAAGUGAAAGCGGAUCGACCUUCGGGAGCCUAGACAGGUGCUGCAUGGCUGUCGUCAGCUCGUGUCGUGAGAUGUUCGGUUAAGUCCGAAAACGAGCGCAACCCCUAUUGCUAGUUACAAGUGUCUAGCGAGAACCUCUACGGCAAGUAGGAGGAAGGUGGGGAUGACGUCAAGUCAGCAUGGCCUUUAUAUCCGGGGCUAMACACACGCUACAAUGGCGCGUACAAUGGGUCGCGAAGCCGCGAGGUGGAGCCAAUCCUACAAAGCGCGUCGUAGUUCGGAUUGCAGGCUGCAACUCGCCUGCAUGAAGUCGGAGUUGCUAGUAACCGCAGAUCAGCACGCUGCGGUGAAUACGUUCCCGGGCCUUACACACACCGCCCGUC